UACCAGCUCCGCGAGUGGUCGGGACGAUUAUUGGGCCUAAAGCGUCCGUAGCCGGCCUAACAAGUCUCUGGUUAAAUCUCAAGGCUUAACCUUGAGAUCGCUGGAGAUACUGUUAGGCUAGGGGGCGGGAGAGGUUGAGGGUACUUCGCGGGUAGGGGCGAAAUCCUAUAAUCCGCGAAGGACCACCAGUGGCGAAGGCGCUCAACUGGAACGCGCCCGACGGUGAGGGACGAAAGCUAGGGGAGCAAAGGGG
rnacentral:rRNA from 1 species